AUUAUCAGGAUCCAAAAGAUGCGGUACAUCUCUAUCUGAUGAUUCUUUUUCAACAUCAUGUGUUUGACGAUUGAUUGAGUUGAUGCUCGGAUUUUUUAGGGUGCUUGGGCUUGUCGAAGAAGGUCUGUCGUCGAUGUCAUUAGAACUUUCAAGAGAAAUGCAUUUAUCUAAAUCAGAUUCAAACCGCAAUACUUGCAAUUGUGACUCCAUUUUUCUGAUUUCCAAAUAUAAUGAUUGCGCUUUAGCAUCGACCUUUUUAAGGGCUUGUAAAAUAACUACUCUUGUUUUCGGCUGUAGGGGUGCACAUGUCGAUAAAUUUUUG